AUUGAACGCUGGCGGCAGGCCUAACACAUGCAAGUCGAACGAGUGGCGGACGGGUGAGCAAUGUCUGGGAAACUGCCUGAUGGAGGGGGAUAACUACUGGAAACGGUAGCUAAUACCGCAUACCAUCGGAUGUGCCCAGAUGGGGUUAGCUAGUGGGUGGGGUAACGGCUCACAAAGGCGACGAUCCCUAGCUGGUCUGAGAGGAUGACCAGCCCCAUGGGAGCUGAGACACGGUCCAGACCUCUACGGGAGGCAGCAGUGGGGAAUAGUGCACGAGGGGCGCAAGCCUUAUGCAGCCAGGCCGCGUGUAUGAAGAAGGCCUUCGGGUUGUAAAGUACUUGCAGCGGGGAGGCGUUACCCGCAGAAGAAGCACCGGCUAACUCCGUGCCAGCAGCCGCGGUAAUUC
rnacentral:rRNA from 1 species